rnacentral:rRNA from 1 species
GACGUAGGGCGCGAGCGUUGUCCGGAUUUAUUGGGCGUAAAGAGCUCGUAGGCGGCUCGUUGCGUCAACCGUGAAAACCCGGGGCUUAACUUCGGGCUUGCGGCUGAUACGGGCGGGCUGGAGUUCGGUAGGGGAGACUGGAAUUCCUGGUGUAGCGGUGAAAUGCGCAGAUAUCAGGAGGAACACCAAUGGCGAAGGCAGCUCGCUGGAACGGUACUGACGCUGAGGCGCGAAAGCGUGGGGAGCGAACAGG